rnacentral:tRNA from 1 species
GCGGGGGUAGCCAAGUCCGGUCAAAGCUUGAGUGAGGAGUUUGCUGAUGCAAACUAUGACUUAAGGCGUCAGACUCAAGAUCUGAUCCCUUAGUGGGUUCGUCGGUUCAAAUCCGGCCCCCCGCA